rnacentral:lncRNA from 1 species
CAAAUUUGAAAUUCAAUCUGUUCAUUCUGUGGCCAUGCGUGCAUGUGGUUGCCGUUUUCCCAAAACACGAAGGAAAGAAAAGCGAAAUUUGAACUCCUAAUACGAAAUGGUUGUGUUGUUCUAAUUGCUAAAGUACAUGUAAGUGAAAGCCAUACAUAUUAGUUGUAGUGCUCUUUAAUUCGCACUUGUAAUUACUUUAAUCAAUAAUCAGUAUUAAAAGCUUGCCUUGAACUCAUACAAUAACUUGGCCGGCUAUAAGAAUUUCUGUUGGCUUUAUAUGCUUCAAUUCCUUGAUAUUAUUGCCUACAUUUCCUACAAUACUGUUUUAAAGCACCUGCAGUUUAAUUUGUAAUCUCAUAGUUACCUUAUCUUCAACUGUUUUAGCUCAUAAAAUUUGACGAGAAAGUUGACCUUAGGCUUAGUUGCAGAGCUGUCGAAGACACGCGCCGGUAAGCAUAUUGUCUUUAUAAAUGUUGUUUGUUGUCUGUCGCUCGGAUUUUAAGCUUCUCCUUCUCAUUCAACGAUAACACUUUGUCUUUGCAGAAUUGUUGAAGUUCACAGGGCAUUUUGAGUUAGUUUUAGUGAUUUAGUCGAGUUUCCAACAGAAUUUUCCCAGCGAAAGGCCGAAUUCGAGCGAGAAUCCACAUGCACAUAUUUUAAAAGGCUCAAUUAAGUUUAAGACGUUUUAAAUCAACUAAAUGAUUGUGCUGGAGUCAGGAAUUAAGACAGCAUUAAAGAUUUACUGAUUAACGAGCAUUUUGUCUUCUUAGUUUACUGUUGAAUUUGAAAUGAAAAGUUGUUACGAAUUAUAUCAAGGCUUUUUAAAUGCUUUGAGUUUGUUAAACUUGAGUUGUACAGUAAUACUGAGACUACAUUUGUACUGUUCCUAUAACAUCUCAUUUAAUUGCAUAUUGGAUGCAACAAACGCUCGCGAGUUGUCAAAUCGAUUGAAUUUUAUACACAUUAACAAAGGAGCUGGGCGAAUAGGAACAAAGCCUAAUACGGACAAAUAUCAGUCGAUUCAGACAUUCUAUAGUCACUAAUCGAAGUUUCGUAGACGUUUUGGAUAUCUUUGUGCAGUUUUGUCAGCUUCCUGACAAUGACACUACAGUUUCUUUCCUAUAUUUUACAGAUUAUUCAAAAUGCUUCGGUUACAAUUAAGAUGACCAUUCAUAUGUUACAUCUGACGGCGAGAUAUUCAGAACCGAACAAACCAAAAAAGCUGAUCAAUGAAGCAGUUAUAGGUUCAGAAGAUGGAAAUGAACAUCUGGUUAGGAAAGAAAAAUUGCAGUAAUUGUAUGACAGCAUUGACGUGGAAACCAUAAGGUGCUCAGAACAACAGAAGAAGGGGGAUCAAUGAACGAGUAUAAGAUCAGAGCAUGGAAGUGAGCAUACGUUUAGAAUGGAAAAUGACAGUAAUUGUGUGACACCGUUGACGUGAAAACGAGAAGGGCGAAGGAACGUACAGCAUGGAAGAAGUACACGGAAAAAACUGUAGAGAAAAAAAAGGGUUGGAGAUUUUGAAACAAAGCCAAACGUGUCGCCAGAUCAAAUAGAAGGAGCUGUAGCAAUGUAUUCCAACGUAAUGGACAACGCA